rnacentral:rRNA from 1 species
AUUGAACGCUGGCGGCAGGCCUAACACAUGCAAGUCGAACGAGUGGGGGAUGUGAGAGUAAUGUCUGGGAACCUGCCUGAUGGAUGGGGAUACCUCCUGGAAACGGUAGCUAAUACCGCAUACCAUCAGAUGUGCCCAGAUGGGAUUAGCUAGUUGGUGGGGUAAAGGCUCACCAAGGAGACGAUCCCUAGCUGGUCUGAGAGGAUGACCGGCCACACUGGAACUGAGACACGGUCCAGACUCCUACGGGAGGCAGCAGUGGGGAAUAUUGCACAAUGGGCGAAAGCCUGAUGGAGCCAUGCCGCGUGUGUGAAGAAGGCCUUCGGGUUGUAAAGCACUUUCAGCAGGGAGGCGGUACCCGCAGAAGAAGCACCGGCUAACUACGUGCCAGCAGCCGCGGUAAUAC